rnacentral:sRNA from 1 species
AUUUCCAUACAUGAUAAUGAAUUCUUCGGUGAUCCCAUAGAAGUUGUAGGUCAAAGACAAUCAUCAAUGAUGCCUUUUACUUUAGAAGAGCUGAUAAUGUUGUCUCGAUGCCUUCGAGAUGCAUGCCUGGGGAUCAUCAAGUUGGCUUAUCCAGAAACCAAGCCAGAAGUUCGAGAAGAAUAUAUUACAGCAUUUCAGAGUAUUGGAGUUACUACUAGCUCUGAAAUGCAACAAUGCAUACAGAUGGAACAGAAAAGAUGGAUUCAGUUAUUUAAGGUUAUCACCAAUCUAGUGAAAAUGUUGAAGUCCAGAGACACGAGGAGAAAUUUUUGUCCUCCAAACCACUGGCUGUCAGAACAAGAAGAUAUUAAAGCAGAUAAGGUGUUAUUGAAAGAUCUUUUUAAUAUUUAUCAUUAAAAAAUACAUUCAGCUUGUGUCUUUCUGGAGAGAAGAAUUAAGCACUUUAAAAUUAUUUAUUUUAUGACUCAUAUGACUAAAUAGUAAUGAUAAACCUUAUUACUAACUCUUACGCCAACUUCUUAAUGGAACAUAUAGCAGUAUCAUUGACUUAAAAUGAUAUUCUGAGUUAUUAAUCCUCAAUUUUCCUUUUUAACCUGAGAUUAUAUUAAAACCUUAAUGAUUCUUUGUGAGGUUG